UAAAAUAAUAAAAAAAUAAUAAUAAUAAAUGGAAAUUGUAAUUAUCAUUUAUAUAAAAAGGGUUGCAUACAUGUGGAUGUCAAGUUGUUAACCGAUAAAAAAGAAAUAAUAAUGAUAUUAAAAAAGAAGGGUAUGAUUGUAUAUUUGUAUAUAUGUAUAUAUAUAUGCAUAUAUAUUUAUGUUAUAUUAGUACUGACAGACAAGUAAUGUAUGAAAACAGUCGAUUCCAAGGCCACGCGAUAUGUCCAAGUUGACAUGAUGCGAUAACACAUUCACGUGUAUGUUAUAUAUAAAUAUAUAUAUGUGAAAUAUAUCAUACAUAUAACGAUGCACGUUUUUUCAGACAGUUGAGUCAUACACAAUUGAAGUAAACACUAAGCAGAUAACAGCAGCAAUUUACAAAGUUACUGCGACAUCGUCAGCUCGAUACAUAUAUAUUUAUACAUAUAUAUAUAUGAAUGGUAUAAAAGAAAAUUUAAACAACAUCAAGGUUUUCAUUUUUUUCUUUUCAUCAAAAUGUUUACCGUUGCUUUAAAUUUUUACUAAACGAUGUUAAUUUCCUCUUACUUGUUUUUAAAUAUUUUCACAUAUUUUAUAUAAAUAUAUAUGUAUAUAUUAAAAAAAUAUUUUAUUAUAUUUACUGAUAUCAAUCAAGGAAUCACCAGAUUCGUGCGCGCAGACAUACUGACUCUCUAUUAAAUAUUUAAAAUGGCAACAUCGCAUCACGUUACAUACAAUUGUCAUACUAUCAAACAGUCGUCACCGUCACGGUCGCAAGUAUUACACACUAAGAAAAUUUAUAAUGUAUAAUAAUGUAAUGUAAGUGAAGACAUGUAUUACUUUGUCGUUCAUGGAGUUGUGUGUGCAUAUAUAUGAUUCUAUCGGGGACAAAACACGGCGCACGUGUAUCAAAAAGACGUCAGUGAAGUUAUGAAAAUUUUAGAUGCAGACGUGGAUAAUUGACGUGGCAGCUAAGAGCAAAUUCAUGUAAUAUUAACUUAUUUACUUAUCAACUUUAAUUUAAUUAUUUUAUUUUAGGAAUAGUCGAAAUAAAUCAAUAAGAAAAGCAAUGAAUUAUCAUCAGGAUAUUUUGAAUUAAAAAUUUAUCACUUAAUCAGAGAUUUUAAUUGAUAUGAUGAUUAACUGUAAGGAAAUAAAACCUAUUACCCAUGCAAACAUUUUUUUUUUUGAGGUAAUACAGUACUUGUUAUCAAAAAGUGACAAAUGUUUUUAGUCUGUACUUUAUCGGCUCUGUACUACCAUUUUUUUACUUAAUCAUACCUACAAUAUAUGUACAAUUUUAAUUAGUCAAAAAAAACUUAUUGAUUUAUAUAUUUUAUUAGACUAAUCCACAAGUAUGUAUAUAAAUUUGAAUAUACUAUCAGUAGACUUAAUAAUCAAUUUUCUAACGUCAACUCUAUAUAUAAUUGUGAUAUUUUUUUAUAAUGUCAAAGUAAGUAUUCAAAAAUUAUAUAUCAAACUACUAUAUAUAUUUAAUAUUUUAUUUUCUAAAAGUGAAUACUUGAGGUAAAAAU